GAAGCUUCUUGAGGAGAAGUAGAUCCCACAGCUGCCUUUCCUUCAGAGAGAGGCCAGGAAACAUUUCGUGCAUCCUCUUCUGGCAUUAACAACAGAGAGCCACUGAGGGGCAUUGAAAGUCAUACUACGCCAUCUGCUGGAAGUUACCUGAGGAGCUACAGAAACUAUCAGAAUCCUAUGUCUCUGCUUGCAAUGAAAUUCCCGUAGAUCUAUUUUCACAGACUGAAUCAAUGACAGAACCUGUUAUUCAAAUGCACUAACCAGGCCCUGGGGAAGCCCAGUGGGCCCCGGAGUGAACAAAACCAAAACAGAGGACAUGGAAGAGGAAUGGAGACUUUGUGGAAAACAGAAAAUGGCCAACAGAGGCAGAGAUGCUGCUUAAGAUCUGGGGCGUUGGAGAAUGCCCCCUCCCCCCCACUAUACAGAAUCUAGCAUGCAAGGAGGUGGAC
rnacentral:lncRNA from 1 species